GGCUAUUGUGCUGGGGGAGCCCAGCAGGGGUGUGAGACAGGCUGGAGUCAGCAAAGGGGUGUGUGUGUACAUGUGUGAGGCGCUGGGCAGAAGACCCCGUGGUGAGGGGGUCAGAGAGCAGCUGGCUGGCUGACUGACUGACUCCUGGGUGUGGAGGGAAGUGCCCAGCUAGAGAGCUGUGCUGUCCUCAGCCUUGCAAGCAGCCUGCAGCUGUGGUGGCUUCCCCAUGUGUCAUCCAAGGCUUUUCACCCUGAAAGCUGCUUGGAGAGGGAGCAGAGGUCGAUAGCAGAGAGAAGGGGCUCUAGCACUUGUGCUUUGCAAAGAAGUUUCGCGGCUGUGUUGCUUCACAACCUAGCCAUAUGCAAGAUUAGGAAGCCAUAAGCCUGUCCUGCCCCUAGAAACUGCAUCUUCCUGCUCCGGAGUGUCCUAAUUGGGGCCCCUAUGAUCUCACACAUCCUGGCCUCUGCCAGUGCCGUUCCAUCGCUUUGGCCGCCUGAGCAUCUUGGAGAACUCAGCUUAGGCGUCACCUCCAGCCUUCCUCUGGGCUCUCACAGCGCCUUGUGCAUCUCUCCCUUGCUCCAAACACCGUAUCGUGUUG
rnacentral:lncRNA from 1 species